rnacentral:rRNA from 1 species
CACCAGCGCCUCGAGUGGGGAUCACGAUUAUUGGGUCUAAAGCGUCCGUAGCAGGCUUUGUAAAUGCUUUGUGAAAUUGUCCGGCAUAACCGGGCAGCGUGCAGAGUACACUGCAGAGAUUGAGACCGGGAGAGGUUAGCAGUAUUCCUUGGGUACCGGUAAAAUGGGUUAAUCCAAGGAGGACUACCAAUGGCGAAGGCAGCUAACCAGAACGGUUCUGACUGUGAGGGACGAAAGCUAGGGGAGCAAAACGG